rnacentral:tRNA from 1 species
CCGAAAGGGCUGCAGUUGUAGGUUAUUCUGAUAUAAUAAUAUUUAAAGUUUUUACUUUCUUCGGC